rnacentral:rRNA from 1 species
AGAGUUUGAUCAUGGCUCAGAACGAACGCUGGCGGCGUGGAUAAGACAUGCAAGUCGAACGGGACUUGUUUUGUAGCAAUACAGGGCAAGUCUAGUGGCGCAAGGGUGCGUAACACGUGGGCAACCUGCCCGGAAGUGGGGGAUAGCCCGCCGAAAGGCGGAUUAAUACCGCAUACGGCCAUCCGGCACCUGCCGGAGACGCCAAAGUCGGGGUAACCUGACGCUUCUGGAUGGGCCCGCGGCCUAUCAGCUAGUUGGUGAGGUAAUGGCUCACCAAGGCUUUGACGGGUAGCUGGUCUGAGAGGACGACCAGCCACAAUGGGACUGAGACACGGCCCAGACACCUACGGGUGGCAGCAGUCGAGAAUUUUUCUCAAUGGGGGAAACCCUGAAGGAGCGACGCCGCGGGGAGGACGAAGGUCUUCGGAUUGUAAACUCCUGUCAUGCGGGAACAAAACCCGCGAUUAACUGUCGCGUGGAUUGAUAGUACCGCAAGAGGAAGAGACGGCUAACUCUGUGCCAGCCGCCGCGGUAAUUC